rnacentral:rRNA from 1 species
UACGUAGGGGGGCAAGCGUUGUCCGGAUUUAUUGGGCGUAAAGAGCGUGUAGGCGGUUUGGUAGGUCCGUUGUGAAAACUCGAGGCUCAACCUCGAGACGCCGAUGGAAACCAUCAGACUAGAGUCCGGAAGAGGAGAGUGGAAUUCCUGGUGUAGCGGUGAAAUGCGCAGAAUAUCAGGAGGAACACCGGUGGCGAAGGCGGGUCUCUGGGGCAACAACUGACGCUGAGGAGCGAAAGCGUGGGGAGCGAACAGG